UUGGGAUGGGGUGAAAAGUUUUGCUUCAUGUGCAACAUCCAAGUGCACCCACAACUGCCAGAUUAACCACCCCCAGGUGUGAUAAAUGUGCCAGCCUGAGCACCUGGGCCUCUCUUGGAGCUGGUAUCGUUUGGGGCUGUGAGGCUCAGCUGUCCUGGGAGCUUCGCCUUCCUGCUGCCAUGUGCAGGCCGGAAAGCUGUGGGCAGUGCAAAGCUGGGUUUGGCUCUGUGAUGUGCAGCCUGUGGGUGCCUUGGAGGGAAGGCAGUGGAUGUGGACUGAGAAGCAAGUCGUUUUUUCCAGAGCAAGGGAGACUUGCGAUGAAGUACCUGGAAACUGGGUGAAGCAUAUCAGUGGUAUAUGAACUCUAAAAGGAAAACAGUUUUCAUCACUAUUGCCUGAACUUCUUAGAGUGACACUAUUUUUAAUUUUUCUUGCAGCUUUGAGACAAAUUGUACCUCUAUCUUAUGUUGGUUUAGACCCUUCCAUAACUGAUUCAAAAUGCAAAGGACUUUGAAGCAAUGUUUUUAGUUAUGGUGUGUCCAUUUAACAAUAUCUGUCAUGGAUAGAAAAUUCAUGAAAUUCAUGUGCUUGAAUGUAAUAAAAAAAAAAAAAAAACAGCGGGGG